CGUAUGGCCGAGUGGUCUAAGCGUUAGGCUUUUACUCUAGUGGUCAGUGGUUCGAGCCCAGUUGAUGA
rnacentral:tRNA from 1 species